GAUGAACGCUGGCGGCGUGCUUAACACAUGCAAGUCGAACGGAAAGGCCCAAGCUUGCUUGGGUACUCGAGUGGCGAACGGGUGAGUAACACGUGGGUGAUCUGCCCUGCACUUCGGGAUAAGCCUGGGAAACUGGGUCUAAUACCGGAUAGGACCACAUUUUGGAUGGUGUGGUGGAAAGUUUUUCGGUGUGGGAUGAGCUCGCGGCCUAUCAGCUUGUUGGUGGGGUAAUGGCCUACCAAGGCGUCGACGGGUAGCCGGCCUGAGAGGGUGUACGGCCACAUUGGGACUGAGAUACGGCCCAGACUCCUACGGGAGGCAGCAGUGGGGAAUAUUGCACAAUGGGCGCAAGCCUGAUGCAGCGACGCCGCGUGGGGGAGGACGGCCUUCGGGUUGUAAACGCCUUUCGCUAGGGACGAGGCGUUAUGUGACGGUACCUGGAGAAGAAGCACCGGCUAACUACGUG
rnacentral:rRNA from 1 species